CGUUAAAGACACCCCGCCCGUCGGGGACGGUACGGGACCGGCGAAAGGACGUAAAAACUACAAAAGGAAAGUUAGACGGGGGGACCCCGGCGACCAAAGCAGACGGGAGCACUGUUGGCUUAAUUUCGACGCAACGCGAAGAACCUUACCCAAGGACUUGACAUACACCGAAAACACGUAGAGAUACGGGGUCCGCAAGGGCGGUGUACAGGUGGUGUCAUGGUUGUCGUCAGCUCGUGUCGUGAGAUGUUGGGUUAAGUCCCGCAACGACGCGCAACCCUCGUUCUAUGUUGCCAGCACGUCAUGGUGGGGACUCAUAGGAGACGUGCCGGGGUCAACUCGGAGGAAGGUGGGGACGACGGUCAAAUACAUCAUGCCCCUUAUGUCUUGGGCUGCACACAUGCUACAAUGGCCGGUACAAAGGGCUGCUAAACCGGCGAGGUGGAGGCGAAUCCCAAAAACGACCGGUUCUCAGUUCGGAUUGGGGUCUGCAACUCGACCCCAUGAAGUCGGAGUUGCUAGUAAUCGCAGAUCAGCAACGCUGCGGUGAAUACGUUCCCGGGCCUUGUACACGUCGACGCGGCCG
rnacentral:rRNA from 1 species